AGAGGGUGCAAGCGUUAAUCGGAAUUACUGGGCGUAAAGCGCGCGUAGGUGGUUUGUUAAGUUGGAUGUGAAAUCCCCGGGCUCAACCUGGGAACUGCAUUCAAAACUGACAAGCUAGAGUAUGGUAGAGGGUGGUGGAAUUUCCUGUGUAGCGGUGAAAUGCGUAGAGAUCGGGAGGAACAUCAGUUGCGAAGGCGGCUCUCUGGACCAUCACUGACACUGAGGCACGAAAGCGUGGGGAGCAAACAGGAUUAGAUACCCUGGUAGUCCACGCCCUAAACGAUGCGAACUGGACGUUGGGCUCAAUUAGGAGCUCAGUGUCGAAGCUAACGCGUUAAGUUCGCCGCCUGGGGAGUACGGUCGCAAGACUG
rnacentral:rRNA from 1 species